CCUCACAAGUUUUUCAUCUCCAUAUGGGUUAUAAAAUAUAGUGCAUCUUUUAUCUAGAAGAUCCAAAAAGUUGUAAUGAAUAAAUAUAGAAAAUUCAAGAAGUCAGCACUGAAACUUUGUGAGUCGGAAGUUAUCUGAGCUUAAAGUAC